CUGCGGUGCAUUGCAGUUGCAUUGCACGUCCACCGUACCGAGUGGUGCAGUGCUUCUGCAGUGCAGGCGCAG
rfam:Ixodes scapularis strain Wikel colony gcontig_1108379084692, whole genome shotgun sequence.